rnacentral:rRNA from 1 species
AGCGAACGCUGGCGGCAGGCCUAACACAUGCAAGUCGAACGAACCUAUCGGGGUUAGUGGCGGACGGGGGAGUAACACGUGGGAACGUGCCUUUAGGUUCGGAAUAACUCAGGUAAACUUGUGCUAAUACCGAAUGUGCCCUGCGGGGGAAAGAUUUAUCGCCUUUAGAGCGGCCCGCGUCUGAUUAGCUAGUUGGUUGAGGUAAUGGCUCACCAAGGCGACGAUCAGUAGCUGGUCUGAGAGGAUGAUCAGCCACAUUGGGACUGAGACACGGCCCAAAAUCCUACGGGAGGCAGCAGUGGGGAAUCUUGCGCAAUGGGCGAAAGCCUGACGCCGCCAUGCCGCGUGAAUGAUGAAGGUCUUAGGAUUGUAAAAUUCUUUCACCGGGGACGAUAAUGACGGUACCCGGAGAAGAAGCCCCGGCUAACUUCGUG